rfam:Camelus ferus unplaced genomic scaffold scaffold16133, whole genome shotgun sequence.
GAGGGCAUAGCUCAGUGGUAGAGUGCCUGCAUAGCAUGCCCAAGGUCCUGGGUUCAAUCCACAGUGCUUCCA